rnacentral:sRNA from 1 species
GGCCCGAGAUGAUGAAGAGCAAAUAUCCACCCUGGGGCCUCAGAGGGGUCCAGCUUGCUGGAGGGAGGGCAGAGAGGAGAGCAGCCUGCCAUUAGUCCCGAGGCUUCCAACUCAAGACUUGGGUUUGGGGUGCUGAGCCCCUGUCUCCUUUUUACAUUUCCCUACCCACAGACCUGAGCGGCCAUGGGAGGUUGGGGUUGGCAUUUGCCUGGGGGAGUUUCUGAGCAAGCAGCACCUGCUACCUUGAUGGAACCCAUUGCUGGGAAUGGCCAGGGCUCAGCACCAGCGCUCAGCAGAUGCUCAGUGCGUUUUGCUGAGUUUGCUGAGGGAAGACUGUUUUCUGUUCUCUCUCACACACACAGAGUGGAUGAGGAUGAGGAUGACCUGGAGGAAGAACACAUAACUAAGAUUUAUUACUGUAGUCGGACACACUCCCAGCUGGCCCAGUUUGUGCAUGAGGUGAAGAAGAGCCCCUUUGGCAAGGAUGUUCGGCUUGUCUCCCUCGGCUCCCGGCAGAACCUUUGUGUAAAUGAAGACGUGAGAAGCCUAGGUUCUGUGCAGCUUAUCAACGACCGCUGCGUGGACAUGCAGAGAAGCAGGCACGGUAGCCACUGGGACCAUGGUGUAGCCGCAGGUGGUCUGGAGAGAGUGAGGCAGGGGUGGCAGUGACUGAAGACCAUUCAGUGUCUUUCAUAGAAAGAAUGGCAGAGGAGACCCCAGUUCCUUCCUGAGUCCCCUCUCCUUGGGAAAAAGUGUUCCUACUCUCUGGGUGAGCGUCUGGUCCGAAUCGUUGGC